rnacentral:misc_RNA from 1 species
CAAGAAGCCGAAAGGCUACUUAAAACCAUCGCGAACUUAUCCAAGUUGCUUCGGCGGCGCGGCUCCCCUCACGGGGGACCGCAGCCCCCGCCUCUCAGGAGGUAAGGGGCAGCCGCCGGAGGUACGAAACUCUGUAUUAUAGUGGUAUCUCUGAGCAUAAAACAAAUAAGUUAAAACUUUCAACAACGGAUCUCUUGGUUCUGGCAUCGAUGAAGAACGCAGCGAAAUGCGAUAAGUAAUGUGAAUUGCAGAAUUCAGUGAAUCAUCGAAUCUUUGAACGCACAUUGCGCCCGCUAGUACUCUAGCGGGCAUGCCUGUUCGAGCGUCAUUUCAACCCUCAAGCUCUGCUUGGUGUUGGGGCUCUACGUCUGACGUAGGCCCUGAAAGGAAGUGGCGGGCUCGCUACAACUCCGAGCGUAGUAAUUCAUUAUCUCGCUAGGGAAGUGUGGCGUUCUCCAGCCGUUAAAGACCCCAUCUUUAACCAAGGUUGACCUCGGAUCAGGUAGGAAUACCCGCUGAACUUAAGCAUAUCAAUAAGCGGAGGAAUCGCGAUCUUGGUCAUUUAGAGGAAGUAAAAGUCGAAACAAGGUUUCCGUAGGUGAACCUGCGGAAGGAUCACUAGUGAUUAAAUCGAGCGUGUCUUCAUUGACCGCUCACCCUUCUCACCAUCCACAUACACCUGUGCACUGUUUAGCCUGAGCCGGUUUUCCGGUCCAGGUUAUCAUUUCAUACAAACUCUAGUCUUAUGAAUGUAAACGUUUUAAUAACAUAAUA